AACUAUUGAUAUUAACUGUGGCAAACAAGGUAAUGGAGGAAAAGUGUGUCAACUUAGGAAGAUUUAGAACUUCACAUUUACCCACUACAGCUGUUAAUACUAAACCAUUCAUUUUGAGUCUCUUAUAAUUUUUAUAGAAGAUGGUUUGUCAUGCAAUUUAACAUACAUCAAAUAUUUAUGUUAACUGUGGCUAACAAGGUAAUAGAGAAAAAGGUGCUAACUUAGGAAGAUGUAGAUGUUCACAUUAACCCACUACAGCUGUUAGUACUGCGCUACUAAUUUCGGGUCUCUUUCAAUUUUCAUUGAACAAGAAUUUUAAAGUAUCAUCUAUUUUCCCACUUCAAUUAAUCCAUUUCUUUGAUAAGUCAUGAUUAGAAAAAGCAUGAAUACUUCAUAACAAAAUUAUAAGAAUCAAAAUACAAUUUUAAUUAUUAAUUUGUUAAUUAUUUGAAAUAUUAUCACAUUUCUCUAGACAACAGCAUGUUCUAUCUCUCUCAUAAAUUUGUUUGAAGUUACAUCAUUCAAAGAUUUGAACCAUUCCCCUAAUGACAUUUUUCCAAUUUACAGCAUGCAAUUAUUGCAUUAAACUCUUUCCUCUUAGUUCUGACAGAUAACUUUCUUCAAGUAGAACUAUAGGUUUAUUUCCAGUAAAAAGGGUUGACAACACAAUUCUAUAGACCUCCAGCCAACUUGUAAUUAAUAGCUGGAUAAAGGUUGUAAUAAGCCUUUGAAUGUUCUUUAUAAAACAGCUAUUUUAGUUUUUUACCUUCAGUAAUUUUUCAUAUAUAUUAAAAUUCAUCAUAUUUAUCAACAUUUGUAUAAAAAUAUUAAGAACGACAAUUUUUAUUGUUCCAUUCAAUUCUCAUUUAAAUUAUUAUUCAAGUUUUAUUGUUCCAUUCAAUUCUCAUUUAAGUUAUUAUUCAAGUUUUAUUUCUUCCAUUUAUAUUUCAUUGUUCCAACAUUUGUAAAGGCUUGGAACCCCAAGGCUAGUUGAUACACUUUAACUUCCAUAUAUCAUCAUAUUUCUCUUUUCAAAAUAAUUAUUAUUUGUUUUAAGUACCACAUAUAAUGCUAUUUGUAAUUGAGUUCACAAAACUCAAAACCCAAAUUUAAUAUCUAUUAUUGUAAUUCCAAAUUCCAUGUUUUCAACUUUUUCAACAUAUUAAUGAAAAGGUCCAGGACUGUCAAGUCUAGUAAACUUAUCUUUUUGUUCGAUUUAUGUUUCAAAUAAUUUUACAAUUUUUGAAAAUUUUCCAUAGGCUCAACUCCCAAGUCCAGUAACUUUUACCAAAAAAUAUUUUCACAGAAACCUCAGUUGAAAAUUUAUCUGAAUUGUUGCCUGUUAUCAAUUUUCUUCCAAUCCAACUAUUUUAAACUUUCUUUUUUUUAGUUUGGAAGUAAUUUUUUUUUUAAAUAAGACUUUUACCUAUUGUAAGUGAUUUUAUGUAGUUAGGGUUGCCUAUAAUGGGAGUUGAAGAUGCCAACUAUUGUAAGCUUAGUUUAGGUUUUAGUUUGUAAGAUAAUUUACUGUAAUUUUUCAUCAGCUACAAGCUGAGCUCUGGCUGUCUUAUUGAGAAUACUCAAUAGAGCAGUAUCUAUAUCAAUUAUAUUUUCUUGCCAACCUCAAUAAUCCCUCUGAUUUUGAUUAUUUUAUAAUUCAUUUUAAAAAUAUGGAUACAAGUUUUGUUUUAAAUCGACAAUUCAAAGCUUUACUAUUUCUAUAAUAAUACUUAUAUUUAAUUAGUUGAUAGUUCAAUGAAAAGAGUAUUAAUUCCAAAUUCUUAAUAUUUUUCUUUCCCAGCUAUGUUAUCAAAAUUAUAAACCAUCAUAUUUAUUUUAAUUGUCAAGCCAAAAACCUUAAGCCCCGCAGACACACAUCAUUUUUUGCUCGUACAGUAUUUUUCCGUCCUUAUAAAUUCUAUUAGAUUAAACAGAUGAUUUCAAACAGAUGAUGUCUGUCAAGCUCCAUUUAAUCUGAUAGAAUUCAUAAGGAUGGCAAAAUAUCGUACAAAAAAAAUCAAUGUGUGUGUGUUGGGCUUUACUUAUUACAUCAAUCCUUUUUAUAUUAAUCACUCCCUUAUGGAUUGAAAAACAUUAUUACUUAUUCCAUACAUUAGUCUAGCCAUAGCUCAGCUUAUGCUGGGUGAACUUUACCUCAAUGUUAUUGUUUCAUUCUCAUUUGUCUACUGUUGAAUAAUAAUUUCAAGAAUGAAAUUGAUCGGCUGUUAUGAUUAUCAUAUUCAAUCCAAAUAAAUAUAUUUCAAAAAUUGUAUUUAAAUAUAUUUUUCAGUAGAAGUCACAGUUGAAAAUUCAUAUAAACUCUUGUCUGUUAUUAAAUUCAUCCAAUCCAACUAUUGUGAAUUUAGCUCUAGUUAGUUUGUAAGUGAAUAAAUUUAAAAAAUACAUUGUCUAUUGUAAGUAGUCUACUGUAUUUGCUCGCGUACGAUGCGCACCCCCAAAAACUAGAGUACAUUUUUAUGAAAAAAUAGACUAAAAAUAUUAUCAAAGUUUUUAUUUGAAACAACGUAUAUAAUGAUUAUUGAUCUACAAAAUAUUCAUUUAAUUAAGUUGAAAUAUAAUAGAUACUGUCAGUUGCACAUAAUUUAUUCGAGCCAAACUUAAGUUUCAAUACACUAAGGCAUCAUCUUUAGUGGUCUUUUUUCAUCUUAAGGUGAUACCUCCUUAGUGCAUUGAAACUUAAGUUUGGCUCAAAUAAAUUAUGUGCAACUGGCAAUAUCGUUUUUAUUCCACUUUAAUAUGGAGAAAUGUCACAAUAUCUCUGUUCAUAGUGUGAAUUUUUUUCAAUUAAUGUUUGAAAAACGUAAAAUACUGUAUUUUGAACUUGGUAUACAUUUAACAAACACAUUAGGAAAAGCUGACUUCUUGAUUAUCGUUGAUUGAUCAUCGUGAACAUUUUUGUCAAACUUUAAAUACCGGCAUUCUGUCUUAUUUUGGAAAAUUACGCGUAUGACGCGAACCAACGAAUUUCGCUUUAUAAUUUUUAAAAAGUAAAAAGUUUUUUUUAAAUAGGUGCGUGUCAUACACUAGCAAAUAUGGUAAUUUGAGGUGGUAAGGGUUGGCUAUAGGGGUGUUGGGAGGCCAAUUGUUGUAAACUAUAGUUUAGUUUUUAGUUUGUAAGUUUGGGAAUUUAUUGUAAAUUCAUCACCCACUAAAAGCUGAGCCCUGGCUGGUCUAUUGAGCAUAAAUUAAUGAGUAUCCAUGAUUAAAUGUCUAUUAUGAUUAUCAUAUUCAAUUGAAAUAAACUAUACCUGAAUUUUAAAAAUUAUAUUGAUAAUAUAUUUUUGCAGAAGUCACAGUUAAAAAGUUAUAUAAAUUCUUGUCUGUUAUUAAAUUUCUUAUUCCAUACAUUAGUCUAGCCAUAGCUCAGCUUAUGCUGGGUGAACAUUACCUCAAUGUUAUUGUUUCAUUAUCAUUUGUCUACUGUUGAAUAAUAAUUUCAAGAAUGAAAUUGAUCGGCUGUUAUGAUUAUCAUAUUCAAUCCAAAUAAAUAUAUUUCAAAAAUUGUAUUUAAAUACAUACCUAUUCUAGCAGAAGUCACAGUUGAAAAUUCAUAUAAAUUCUUGUCUGUUAUAAAACUUCUCCCAUCCAAAUAUUGUGAAUUUAGCUCUAGUUAGUUUGUAAGUGAAUAAAUUUAAAAAAUACAUUGUCUAUUGUAAGUAGUCUACUGUAUUUGCUCGCGUACGAUGCGCACCCCAAAAAAACUAGAGUACAUUUUUAUGAAAAAAUACACUAAAGAUAUUAUCAAAGCUUUUAUUUGAAACAACGUAUAUAAUGAUUAUUGAUCUACAAAAUUUUCAUUUAAUUAAGUUGAAAUAUAAACGAUACUGUCAGUUCCACAUAAUUUAUUUGAGCCAAACUUAAGUUUCAAUACACUAAGGCAUCAUCUUUAGUUGUCUUUUUUCAUCUCAAGAUGAUGCCUCCUUAGUGCAUUGAAACUUAAGUUUGGCUCAAAUAAAUUAUGUACAACUGACAAUAACGUUUUUAUUCCACUUUAAUAUGGAGAAAUGUCACAAUAUAUCUGUUCAUAGUGUGAAUUUUAUUCAAUUGAUGUUUGAAAAACGUAAAAUACUGUAUUUUGAACUUGGUAUACAUUUAACAAACACAUUAGGAAAAGCUGACUUGUUGAUUAUCGUUGAUUGAUCAUCGUGAACAUUUUUGUCAAACUUUAAAUACCGGCAUUCUGUCUUAUUUUGGAAAAUUACGCGUAUGACGCGAACCAACGAAUUUCGCUUUAUAAUUUUUAAAAGUAAAAAGUUUUUUUUAAAUAGGUGCGUGUCAUACACUAGCAAAUAUGGUAAUUUGAGGUGGUAAGGGUUGGCUAUAGGGGUGUUGGGAGGCCAAUUGUUGUAAACUAUAGUUUAGUUUUUAGUUUGUAAGUUUGGGAAUUUAUUGUAAAUUCAUCACCCACUAAAAGCUGAGCCCUGGCUGGUCUAUUGAGCAUAAAUGAAUGAGUAUCCAUGAUUAAAUGUCUAUUAUGAUUAUCAUAUUCAAUUGAAAUAACUAUACCUGAAUUUUAAAAAUUAUAUUGAUAAUAUAUUUUUGCAGAAGUCACAGUUAAAAAAUUAUACAAAUUCUUGUCUGUUAUUAAAUUUCUUAUUCCAUACAUUAGUCUAGCCAUAGCUCAGCUUAUGCUGGGUGAACAUUACCUCAAUGUUAUUGUUUCAUUAUCAUUUGUCUACUGUUGAAUAAUAAUUUCAAGAAUGAAAUUGAUCGGCUGUUAUGAUUAUCAUAUUCAAUCCAAAUAAAUAUAUUUCAAAAAUUGUAUUUAAAUACAUAUUCUAGCAGAAGUCACAGUUGAAAAUUCAUAUAAAUUCUUGUCUGUUAUAAAACUUCUCCCAUCCAAAUAUUGUGAAUUUAGCUCUAGUUAGUUUGUAAGUGAAUAAAUUUAAAAAAUACAUUGUCUAUUGUAAGUAGUCUACUGUAUUUGCUCGCGUACGAUGCGCACCCCAAAAAAACUAGAGUACAUUUUUAUGAAAAAAUACACUAAAGAUAUUAUCAAAGCUUUUAUUUGAAACAACGUAUAUAAUGAUUAUUGAUCUACAAAAUUUUCAUUUAAUUAAGUUGAAAUAUAAACGAUACUGUCAGUUCCACAUAAUUUAUUUGAGCCAAACUUAAGUUUCAAUACACUAAGGCAUCAUCUUUAGUUGUCUUUUUUCAUCUCAAGAUGAUGCCUCCUUAGUGCAUUGAAACUUAAGUUUGGCUCAAAUAAAUUAUGUGCAACUGACAAUAUCGUUUUUAUUCCACUUUAAUAUGGAGAAAUGUCACAAUAUAUCUGUUCAUAGUGUGAAUUUUAUUCAAUUGAUGUUUGAAAAACGUAAAAUACUGUAUUUUGAACUUGGUAUACAUUUAACAAACACAUUAGGAAAAGCUGACUUGUUGAUUAUCGUUGAUUGAUCAUCGUGAACAUUUUUGUCAAACUUUAAAUACCGGCAUUCUGUCUUAUUUUGGAAAAUUACGCGUAUGACGCGAACCAACGAAUUUAGCUUUGUAUUUUUUUAAAAGUAAAAAGUAUUUUUUUUAAAUAGGUGCGUGUCAUACACUAGCAAAUAUGGUAAUUUGAGGUGGUAAGGGUUGGCUAUAGGGGUGUUGGGAGGCCAAUUGUUGUAAACUUAUAGUUUAGUUUUUAGUUUGUAAGUUUGGGAAUUUAUUGUAAUUUCAUCACCCACUAAAAGCUGAGCCCUGGCUGGUCUAUUGAGCAUAAAUAAAUGAGUAUCCAUGAUUAAAUGGCUAUUAUGAUUUUCAUAUUAAAUUGAAAUAAUUAUACCUAAAUUUUAAAAAUUAUAUUGAUAAUAUAUUUUUGCAGAAGUCACAGUUAAAAAAUUAUACAAAUUCUUGUCUGU
rnacentral:lncRNA from 1 species